ACCUGGAUGGCUCAGUGGUUGAGCAUCUGACUUCAGCUCAGGCCGUGAUGUCCUGGGAUCGAGUCCCACAUCAGGUU
rnacentral:tRNA from 1 species